GACGGAGGAUGCAAGCGUUAUCCGGAAUGAUUGGGCGUAAAGCGUCCGCAGGUGGCAGUUCAAGUCUGCUGCCAAAGACCGGGGCUUAACUUCGGAAAGGCAGUGGAAACUGAACAGCUAGAGUAUGGUAGGGGCAGAGGGAAUUCCUGGUGUAGCGGUGAAAUGCGUAGAGAUCAGGAAGAACAUCGGUGGCGAAGGCGCUCUGCUGGACCAUAACUGACACUCAGGGACGAAAGCUAGGGGAGCGAAUGGG
rnacentral:rRNA from 1 species